AACGAACGCUGGCGGCGUGCCUAACACAUGCAAGUCGAGCGAGAAAGUUCCCUUCGGGGAGCGAGUACAGCGGCGAACGGGUGAGUACAACGUAGGUAACCUACCCCGAGACUGGGAUAACCUGUCGAAAGACGGGCUAAUACCGGAUAAGACCACGAAGGCUGAGGCCUUCGGGUAAAGGUGGCCUCUGCUUGCAAGCUACCACUCGAGGAGGGGCCUGCGCGCCAUUAGCUAGUUGGCGGGGUAAAGGCCCACCAAGGCGAAGAUGGCUAACUGGUCUGAGAGGAUGGCCAGUCACACUGGGACUGAGACACGGCCCAGACUCCUACGGGUGGCUG
rnacentral:rRNA from 1 species